UGGGUGGCUUUUCUUUAGGGACGGGGGGCCGGACCGAAUGGUGAAUGGGCGGCGAUUUGUCUGAGCUUAAAAACAUAGAAUCGAGAAUUUGUGCCCUCCGCGUUUACUUAGCAGUCUGCUGUAGGUUUAUAAUAUAGCAUUGCAAGAUCAACUGAGUGGAGGAUAUCAUCAUUAUCAAGCUCUCGGCCUGUGCAGAUAUGUUCUAGGAGAAAUGAUAAUAAUGUAUAAUAAUAUAGGCUAGUAUCGUCAUCGUCAUAAAAAGAUCAAGAAGAGAAGAAAUUGUGUGGAUGUUCCCAGGACUGCCGGCGUUGUGUUGUGAGACAGAAACAGCAGCGGGGAAAGAAAAAAAGUAGGACCUGCUUCCACCACCAGUGACACCCUCCAGCCACCCGCACUGGAGCGUGGGAGACAGACAGGGGACGGUGAGGGGGAUCGGUGGGCAGUGAAGAUCCCGAGUCUGCGCGCAGUGUACACCACGAGUGAACGCCAUCCGGCACACUUAACUCUUAGAAUUAUUAUUCAGUUCAGCUGGCUUACGGCAUCACUCGGUUGUUUUCAGUUAUUACAACAAUUAGAUCUAACCUUACUCCGCCAAGUCCAUCUUAUCCAUAAUCAGAAUGUGCAUUCACUGCUUACAUCAUUCGCUUCUUCUCAAUUUAAUGUUUAUUCUAUGCAUAGAUAUCUAGGUUAAAUAGGAGCAGAGUUAUAUGAAGUCUGUGGUGUUGAAAACUUACUAGAUGACAAACCUGACUGCGGACGAAGGAGGAAUAAACUGCGGUAUAUUCUAUAAGAGUUAAUAUCGGUGUCACAUUCCUAAGAACUUUGCCACAGUUUUUACGCCAGCUUCGUCCAUCUCCUGCAGUGACUGACACAGUUAGUAGUGUUAUCUUGGCUUUCUAAUUGUCAAGGUGAACGUACCCUCGUCAUACAGGCUCGGCCGCUGGAGCGCACGGCCUACCCCCGCCCCUCCUCUCUGCUUUCGAUCAAACCAUCUCUAGAUCUCCUACAAAUGAUGCGUGUUGCACGAGUGACCCGUCUAGCGUCUAUCGCUACCUGACAGCGGCAUACAUUCACUGGAGUUACAUCACUAGACAAUGAACUGAGGUGUGUGAGGUCAGGGGUCGAGUCCACGUUUCUUACUGAAAAGGUGCGGGUGGUUGGAUGGUGUCACUGAUAGGUCUUACUUUCU